rnacentral:lncRNA from 1 species
CUUUAUAUAAGUUUGUUAUUAACGUAUUUUUACUGUUCCUUUAAACAUUAAUAUAGCCAGUUCAUGGAAAAAAAAUACUUUGGAACAGUCUUUGGAAAUUAUGGGAUAUGACUGCAGAGGGACUUCCCCUGUUGCAUCUGUUUUCAUCUCUGCUGUAAGAAUGUGAAGAAAGUGAUUGUGGAAGAGCAGGAGAUGGAACACUUAAAAAAGGAACACUGGUUUUUGCUGGAUUACUCUGAGGACUGGAAACACCAGGUUUGCACCAAUAUCGCUGGUUUGGUUAAAGUUUCAGGUGCGACACGCCAGCCGGACACUGGGCACUGAGACACGUGGGGAAGGGAGCAGCUGUCCCCAGCUGAGCCUCGUGGCGUGAAGAGGCACACACUGUUACAAGCUGCGUUUCCUUUCUGAGGUUAAUUACUAAUAAUACACCUGCAGUGCGC